UACGGAGGGGGCGAACGUUAUUCGGAUUUACUGGGUGUAAAGGGAUCGUAGGCGGAAUGCUAAGUUAGAUGUGAAAGCCCUGGGCUCAACCCAGGAAUUGCAUUUAAAACUGGCAAUCUAGAGUGUUGGAGAGGAUGACGGAAUUACAAGUGUAGAGGUGAAAUUCGUAGAUAUUUGUAGGAACAUCAGUGGCGAAGGCG
rnacentral:rRNA from 1 species